CCAGACACUGUUUGGGAUAGGGAUACAUCCACCAUACAUAUUCAUAUAAAUAAAUCCGCAUGCGGCGCAAAUUCUAGAGGCAGGAGGCAACCAGAAACGACAAUUUUUUUUAUAUGUUCCAAGAGUGAAUUUGUCUGCGAAUUUUGCUGGAAACUUACUAUUCGGUGCAGAUUCGAACUAAUUCUUUAAUUAGCUUUGAACUAAUUUAAAAAAAGAUCCUAUAAAAUUUUUUGAAAAAACACAAAAUACGUUUUUAACUGUCAUAAAGUGUUAACAUAAAUACUAGUACAUUGUUAACCGUAAUGCUAAUAAAAAGAAAUUGAAGAGCUUGGGCUUCCUGUGGAUAAACCUAAAUUCGUCUGUUAUUCAGACUAGCUAAUGAGGGGAAUCCCCUACAAACGUUUCAGAUUUGCAUUUCAAAUUUCCUACAUUUAUUUGUUUGUUCGUAUUUUGUGCAAAGCAUCAUUUGAUCUUCAACUACAGCCCUGAUGUAGUGUCGAAUUGUGCUUAAAGGCAAGUUGAACAAGGUGAAAUCAAGUUAAAACUUUCGGGAAAGGAACCUCUAUGUAUCAUUACACUCGAAAGCUUCAUACCAAGCAUUAUUGAACGAGGUUUCUAGGACGGCUCUUUACUCUGUUGUGCGCAGAUAUCUAUAACCAAAGCCUCUUGUAAAUGUGUCUUGACAUUUUCAUACAAGUAAUAAUCUAAUAGGAACUCUAUUGUAAUCCUAUUUUUUUUGCUGAUAAAAGAAAACUAUAUAUAUUUC